UAUUUCUAACAUGGGGUAUGGGGUAAAACAACAUAAAACAUCAAUAGAUGUGGAAGCUGAAUACAUCAACAAGACAACAAGAAGACAACAAGAUAAAAUAGUAUGUUGGACAUCAGCUUAUAGUAGCUCUUUAUUAACACUCUUCUAAUAUGAGGCAUGUAAAUGAUCAAAUUCAUAAAAAGUUUACAUCUAGUCUAUAUGCAUAAUUACAUAUGACAAGUAACAUAAAUGCAGACGUGAAUUCAAACAUUUGUCUCUGUUUACUUUAAUAAAACUACAAUAAAGCUAUGAAAAAAUAAUGCUAUUACCAGUACACCUGGCCCAGAACAUGUUGCAUAUAAAUGCAUCAAUAUGGCAUACUUUGAAGACAUUAUAGAGUUCAAAUUAACCAAUUCUGCAUUGAACCUGAUGUUAACCUUUUCUGCUUCAGCAUCCAGACCCAAGUCACUACAGUCACUGGUCCAGACUGUAGUCGGGAAGCACAGAGGAGAAUUUGUAUUCUGCUCCAGGGCCAAAGCUGUCGCUAACUUCGGGGGUAACCCCCUUCACUUUAAUCAGCAGGUGGCCACAGCCUAGACUGUACGUUCACUGCACUGCUAUGUUCACAGCUAUACUGCUAACUUCAUACACUCUGCUCCAGUCGCCAGCCUCACCGUCUCACACAUGUUCUCUCGCUUUCUCUCUCUCAUGACCGCACACUCGCUACGCACACAGCCUAUGCACAGAACUAUCCCUUAAAGGAGCUACGCUACUUGUAUAACACCAGUCAACCUGACCAACCCCUCCCCCUCCCAAAAUAAAAAAAUUCUCCUCGGAUCUACACAAAUCUUGUAGACCUAUUUCCAUCUCAAAAUGGCAAAUUUCACCAAAAGGUGAGGAGUUUGUGAAUUCAUCUGAAAACACCAUAAUGAUUUGAUGAAAAAAAAAAAAAAAGCAGUUGUCAGUCAGUAAAUUUAAUCAGACAUUAUUGCAGUUUUUGGCUUCCCUCCCUUUUUAUGUCCCUUGUGUUGAAGAUUAGGAUAAAACACAAACAAAAACACAGUGUGGGUGAAGACCUGGAAUAUUAGGGUCCAUGUAAACAUAGCCAUUCAUUUGGGACAACACUCUCUCGACUGGUGUGUUACUUCCAGUGUUUGUAGAUGUGAGUUGUGAUCUUCCAAUCAUGGGGAUGCUGAUCCAGGAGAAGUUGACACGUCCUGGUCGGCAAUCUGCAUGGUAGCUGAGGUGCGGAUACUUCAUUCAGGCAAUUCUUUCCUCUGAUCAUAAUUGUGCAGUGACAGAUGGGCAAUGGUGGAGCGCACAAGUAUACAGCGUGCAUAGAAAUGUGCUCAUAGCUGUGAAUAGAAAAAGCCUCCAAGCAAUCAGGUGUGUUUUUUUUGACAACUUGCUUGCCUAUGUAACACCGACUUCAUCACACAGAGUUGCAUAAAAACGGACAUAAGUUCCAGGAAAGAUGCAAGUUCGAGAUAUGAAGAGUUGUAAAUCUUCCCUGGUACAGGUGAAUGCUGGAAAUUGUGGCCAUUUUUGAAUCAGAGAGCUUCUCUACUGAGAUAAUGGACCAGUUGCGUGGCCUCUUGCCACCUUCCCUCCUCGACAAGUUUGCUGCAUUUCCUCACUGUUUGGAUGAUGAACUAGGAGUUACAAACUGCCAAGAGGUGCCUGGACCCUGCAGGACAUGCACAGCUACAGAGAAAAAACCCCCAAAAAACUUACAAGGCAUACUGCACAAGUACAGCCUUAAGUUUUGUAGAUUGCACUGUAAAAACCUCUUUCUUAUCAAAUCCAACUGAGUCCUAAAUGUUUCAUUUCCUUAAAACAAAAAAAGAAAGAAACAAAGUAAGGUAUUUUCUGAAAUCAAGUUUCAUUUUCUCUUGAUCUAGAAUUUUUCUGGAAACAAUCUGAUGUGAACUGGAAACAGGCUGAUAUAUUAGAAGGGUUUGACAGACUAUAUUCAGGUUUAUACAACAUCAUAUGUAAUUUGUUUAAAUGCUGCUUGACAAAUUCCUUCACAGAAUGAAUAACCAGAUUGUCUCUACUUCUACAUUCAUGAUAACCUGUCUGAUGUUGUAGAUUCUAGUAGAUUUUAUUGUUCUAUUACAGUUCUUAUCUAAUUGAAUCACCUAAUGACUGAGGGCCUGCAGCUGUGAGAUGGUGGGUGAGUCAUAUAAAUACAGACUACAACUCAGCGCACUGAAGAAAGCGUGAGACUGAAAUGAGUUUGCAGAAAUGUUUAUUGACCUAACCUCUUUUUCAGAUAGAAGAAUGUGACAGCCAUAUGUUUUGAAAGCCAAGAAGCUUCCUAUUCAACACUCUAAUACUGCAGAUUCAAUGUUUGAAAGGAGCUUUUGUUUAGAUUGCUGUUUUUUUCCUUAAGUAUUAAAGAUUUUUUUAAGCACAACAUCAAAAGUUCGCACAUUUAUCAAUUUGUUAAAUCAAUCUGCAACAAAGGUUUGCAUCUUUACAGUUUCUAUGGCUGAACAAACCAAAUCCAUAUUGGCUGUGUGUCAUGUGUCACCCAUGAGACUAACCUAAUACUAAAACAGGCCUGACCUCAGGGUGCACGCCAAU